AAGGAUCAUUACAGAAUUGUCAACAAGAGUUGUUGCUGGCCCCUGUAUGGGGGCAUGUGCACACUCUGUUUACACAUCCACUCACACCUGUGCACUCUUUGUAGUUCUAUGGCCUGGGGGGCUCUGUCCUCCUGCUGUGGUUCUAUGUCUUUACACACACACCGUAAUAAAGUCUCAUGGAAUGUAUGUCGCGUUUAACGCAAUGAAAUACAACUUUCAGCAACGGAUCUCUUGGCUCUC
rnacentral:misc_RNA from 1 species